rnacentral:sRNA from 1 species
CGCCUCCCCCUUUGGAGGCGUCUCCUCCCUGAACCUAGGCCGCUCCAUGCUCUGCAUGGGGCGGUUUUUUUGGCAUGC